rnacentral:rRNA from 1 species
ACGGGUAACCUGAGGGAGGGACAGCGGCGAACGGGUGCGUAACACGUGAGCAACCUGCCCUUGAGUGGGGAAUAGCCCGCCGAAAGGUGGAGUAAUACCGCAUAUAGCACCAUUCCACAUGGAAUGAAUGCCAAAGCUGGGGAUCCUUCGGGACCUGGCGCUUGAGGAGGGGCUCGCGGCCUAUCAGCUUGUUGGUGAGGUAACGGCCCACCAAGGCUAAGACGGGUAGCUGGUCUGAGAGGAUGAUCAGCCACACUGGAACUGAGAUACGGUCCAGACACCUACGGGUGGCAGCAGUUUCGAAUCAUUCACAAUGGGCGAAAGCCUGAUGGUGCGACGCCGCGUGGGGGAUGACGGUCUUCGGAUUGUAAACCCCUGUCACCAGGGACUAAAACCUGUGCGUUAAUAGCGUACGGAUUGAAUUAACCUGGAGAGGAAGCAGUGGCUAACUCCGUGCCAGCAGCCGCGGUAAUACGGAGACU